CACGCCGUAAACGAUGAUCACUAUGAGUAUGGAGAUUCGACCCUCUGUGCUCAGUAGCUAACGCGUUAAGUGAUCCGCCUGGGGAGUACGAGCGCAAGCUUAAAACUCAAAGGAAUUGACGGGGACCCGCACAAGCAGAGGAACAUGGGGUUUAAUUCGAAGCUACGCGAAGAACCUUACCGAGGCUUGACAUCCUAGGAAGUCUAUGGAAACUAAGACGUGCCUUCGGGAACCUAGUGACAGAUGC
rnacentral:rRNA from 1 species